UACAGAGGUCUCAAGCGUUGUUCGGAUUCAUUGGGCGUAAAGGGUGCGUAGGUGGCGGGGUAAGUCAGGUGUGAAAUCUCGGGGCUCAACCCCGAAACUGCACUUGAUACUGCCCUGCUAGAGUACUGGAGAGGAGAUUGGAAUUUACGGUGUAGCAGUGAAAUGCGUAGAUAUCGUAAGGAAGACCAGUGGCGAAGGCGAAUCUCUGGACAGUUACUGACACUGAGGCACGAAGUCCACGGGAGCAAACGGG
rnacentral:rRNA from 1 species